UACAGAGGAUGCAAGCGUUAUCCGGAAUGAUUGGGCGUAAAGCGUCUGUAGGUGGCUUUUUAAGUCCGCCGUCAAAUCCCAGGGCUCAACUCUGGACAGGCGGUGGAAACUACCAAGCUGGAGUACGGUAGGGGCAGAGGGAAUUUCCGGUGGAGCGGUGAAAUGCGUAGAUAUUGGGAAGAACACCGGUGGCGAAGGCGGGCGACCUGGUCCGAUACUGACGC
rnacentral:rRNA from 1 species